GACGAACGCUGGCGGCGUGCUUAACACAUGCAAGUCGAACGGAAAGGCCCUGCUUUUGUGGGGUGCUCGAGUGGCGAACGGGUGAGUAACACGUGAGUAACCUGCCCUUGACUUUGGGAUAACUUCAGGAAACUGGGGCUAAUACCGGAUAGGAGCUCCUGCUGCAUGGUGGGGGUUGGAAAGUUUCGGCGGUUGGGGAUGGACUCGCGGCUUAUCAGCUUGUUGGUGGGGUAGUGGCUUACCAAGGCUUUGACGGGUAGCCGGCCUGAGAGGGUGACCGGCCACAUUGGGACUGAGAUACGGCCCAGACUCCUACGGGAGGCAGCAGUGGGGAAUAUUGCACAAUGGGCGGAAGCCUGAUGCAGCAACGCCGCGUGCGGGAUGACGGCCUUCGGGUUGUAAACCGCUUUCGCCUGUGACGAAGCGUGAGUGACGGUAAUGGGUAAAGAAGCACCGGCUAACUACGUGCCAGCAGCCGCGGUGAUACGUAGGGUGCGAGCGUUGUCCGGAUUUAUUGGGCGUAAAGGGCUCGUAGGUGGUUGAUCGCGUCGGAAGUGUAAUCUUGGGGCUUAACCCUGAGCGUGCUUUCGAUACGGGUUGACUUGAGGAAGGUAGGGGAGAAUGGAAUUCCUGGUGGAGCGGUGGAAUGCGCAGAUACCAGGAGGAACACCAGUGGCGAAGGCGGUUCUCUGGGCCUUUCCUGACGCUGAGGAGCGAAAGCGUGGGGAGCGAACAGGCUUAGAUACCCUGGUAGUCCACGCUGUAAACGGUGGGUACUAGGUGUGGGGUCCAUUCCACGGGUUCCGUGCCGUAGCUAACGCUUUAAGUACCCCGCCUGGGGAGUACGGCCGCAAGGCUAAAACUCAAAGGAAUUGACGGGGCCCCGCACAAGCGGCGGAGCAUGCGGAUUAAUUCGAUGCAACGCGUAGAACCUUACCUGGGUUUGACAUGGAUCGGGAGUGCUCAGAGAUGGGUGUGCCUCUUUUGGGGUCGGUUCACAGGUGGUGCAUGCCUGUCGUCAGCUCGUGUCGUGAGAUGUUGGGUUAAGUCCCGCAACGAGCGCAACCCUUGUUCACUGUUGCCAGCACGUUAUGGUGGGGACUCAGUGGAGACCGCCGGGGUCAACUCGGAGGAAGGUGGGGAUGACGUCAAGUCCUCAUGCCCCUUAUGUCCAGGGCUUCACGCAUGCUACAAUGGCUGGUACAGAGAGUGGCGAGCCUGUGAGGGUGAGCGAAUCUCGGAAAGCCGGUCUCAGUUCGGAUUGGGGUCUGCAACUCGACCUCAUGAAGUCGGAGUCGCUAGUAAUCGCAGAUCAGCAACGCUGCGGUGAAUACGUUCCCGGG
rnacentral:rRNA from 1 species